rnacentral:lncRNA from 1 species
GCUUAGGCGCUGGCCAGGGGAGUUUUGAGGGUAUAGCCGCUGGCCAAAAGCCCGGCCUGGACCUCAGGUCUGACAAGGACAAAAAGCUUGGAACCAAUUGCGUUUGAGAAAUGGCUUGGCAACAGCAUAGCUGCUGGCCAAGGAACCAUGCGAAGUAACCGACCAGCAGACAUUGUUGUUGUUGCUGGCACUGCAGCUGCUGGGGGUGGAACAACCGCUAGAGAGGAAGUAGGAAGGGAGAGAGAGGUAGCUACUGGAGAGAAGGUGUGCACCAGGCUGGAGGAGUCAGACAUGUUAGGGGGUGAGGAGGUUGCUGCUGGAGGAGGGAAUAGGCUGGACGCUGGCCAGGGGAUGACUUUGGGCGAGCAGCUGGCUGCUGGGGGCUUUGGCUCAGGGAUGGAUGGCUGUGUUGCCGCUGGAGGGGAGGAAUAGGCAGGAGAGGAGAGUUAGCUGCUGCUGCUGGGGGGUUGGUUGCUGGGGAGGAGGAGUCGGACAGGCAGGCUGAGGGGGUAGCCGCUGGCCAGGGAACUCGCCUGGGCAUAGGGCUGGCAGGCAAGGGAGUUGCCAGCUGCCCAGCUGCUGGUCAGGGAGCUCACCUAGGCAUAGGACGGUCUGCUGGGGGAAGUGUACAAGGUGGUGACUGCUGGUGGCGAAUUAGUGCCUAACCACGAGACAAGUGGGUGCAUGGCCUCCGGCCAAGGCGAGGCGGGCGAGCCUUACCAAGGCGGUGUAACUGCUGGCCAAGGGGCCGGUCUAAGCAUCAUCAUGCCGGACGAAGAUGACGACCCGGUGGGUCCCAUGCCGAACGAAAGGCACGACACCCGAGACCAAGAAACCACAACAAAAACUUCGGAAUCCGCAUUCAAGACGUUGAUGCAAAACAUUGCCCCACAGGUAAGAUUUAAAAAAUUAUAAAAAUGUAGGCGACAUUUUUACAUGUUUACUAGUUUGCGUUUUCUUAUAACAUGAAUGUCAUGUAUCUAUACUCUCUAUUAAAGUUGGACUUACCCCUAAGGAAAAUUUCUCUUUCCAAAUUAAAGAAAAUUUGGUGCUCCAAUUGAAGAGAAUUUAACAAAAAUUAAAAUUGAAAGGGUUAUUAUUGUAAAUUUAAAUCUAAUAUAGCUUAAAUAGCUAGAUGGCUACAUUUAAUAACACUAUGGCCAUAUCUGUCUUUUUGCACAAAUAUAUUAAUAGUUACCCAAUGAAUUUAAUGGAAAUAUGGUGUUAUAUAUAUAUACUUAUUAGCAAUAAAAUUUAAAAAUAUAAAAAUUAUAAUUUCGUACUUUACCAUCUUCCUUCCACUGACGUUCCUCAUACAUCAAAUUUAAUCUAUCAUCUCUUGCUUCUACAAAAUAGUGGUUGGAAAAAAGCACACACAACCUUCAUUACAAUAGAGUAAUAGAUUAUGUGAAUAUAUGCCCGAAAUAGUAAAAUAUUGUGCCUUUUAAUUUUUCUUUGAGUACAGGUGAGAAAUAAAAUUAUAUUGGCUUUAUAACCAUAUAACAUAGUUAUGUUGCCUAAUUAUACCAUGAUUUUCAGGAUUACUUUAAUCUUAUUUAUCAAUUAUACUCAAAACAUGAAUAUUUGAAAAGCUGGCCUUCGGCCAACAGUUAGCCCAGGAUAUAAAUUUAAUAGUGUUUUUCGAAAUAAUAUAUAUUCUAGACAUAACAAAAGCGCAACCCAAUAACUUGACAAUGAUGUUUUUUUUUUUAUUAUUUCAAUGCAAAUUCAAAUCUAAGAAUUAUAAAAAGUUAGAGGACAAGUGCGCUACAUACUGCGCUGCAAACCCUUUUAUUAUUAUUAUUUUGCAAAAGGCAUUAUUUAGGGGUUACACCUAGAUAUAAAUUUUGACAUUUUUUUUCCUAAUUUUGUCGUGAAAGUAGGGACUGGGAGAAACAGAAGAUAUAAUUAUAUUUAUGUCCCACCAUUUUUUUUUAACUAAAACUAAAAAUCGAAGUCCAACAAAUUUUUUUGAUUAGCCAGCAGGUGGGCUUUCAUUGUAGUUUACUAGAUGCCUCUUUAAACUUUCAUUGUAGCUUACUACAUGCCUCUUAAAACUAAGUAUAGAUUUGUUUAAAUGAAAUAUUUAUUAUAACAAAUAUAUUCUUAGUAUAAAUUUGUCGAUUUGCAUGUGGCUCAAAGGUAGCCUCCCACAAAGUCGAGAUAUGAUGUUGUGGGUUCGAACCACGUCAGCAACUGAUUGUUUGAUUAAAAGUUUUUCCUUAACCUCGCUUACCAAUAAUAAUAAUAAAAAAAACUAUGAUACUUACUAUAUAUAUAUAUAAUAAGUUUCAAUAAGCACUGUAUAGUUUGUAAUCCAACAUUUUAUCAUAUGCUUCCACUUCAUCUUUUCAAUAAAUUUUUUGGGUGCAUUAGUUGUGAAAGGUUACUUUACUACUGCAAGUUACUAUAUUUCUUUCUUGCUAAAUUUAUUUUAUAUUCAAAACUUAAGCCUAAAUACCAAACAAAAAAUGAAUCAAAUCAUAUGAUUAGUCUAAUUCAUGGUUUGAAUAUUCAUAAGAUUAAUCAUACCAUUGUUUAUUGUCACAUUGAAGUAAAAAUAUAAUAAAAAAUUCAAUAAUUGCUAGAUAUUAUAUAUAAAAAUUAAUGAUAAACCAUUUUAAAAAUUGUAAUCAACCAUAUUUACGAAAAAAUAAAAUAAAAUUGGUGGUAUAAUAAAAUCAUAAAGCCAAUGACAUACAUUAAGUCAUUAACAAAAUAUUUUCAAUAAACUACACCUAAUGACGUAAGUUACAUUAUUUAAUAACAUCCGUGCAUCGCACGGGCCUUAUAACUAGUUUAAUGAUUGUAGGUAGACCGUUUGGUCGACCAAAUUGUUGGUAGUCAUGAGAAAGAGAUGGAUGAGCUUCGAGCCCGAGUUGCGACACUUGAAGUCGAGAAUGUACAAUUGAAGGGGAAAAGGAUGAAAUGAGAAUGGAAACAUUUGAAGGUUGGAAAGAAGUAGAAAAGAUGCAAUCGAAGAUCGAGAAGGCACAAGCGGAGAAGGAUAAAGCAAUAAAAGAUAGGGAAACGUUGAGGGAAGAAGUAAGGAAGUUGAACAAGGAUAUGGAAACAAUCGAAGCCGAAUGUGCAAUGACGCGCACACGUUGUUAUCAAUGGAAGGAAGCAUAUGACAAAGUAAAGAUUUUGCAAAUCCGGGCGGAGGAAGAGAAAAACAAAGCAGAGCUUAAGGUAAGUAAGACUAAAAAACCUUACAUGGAGCAAUGGUAGAGGCAAGGAGAGUUACCAAGAAUUACGACAUUUUGUACAACAUAUGUCGAACCCAAGGACUCAAAGGCCUUAAAAAGGUUCCACUUCCGCUUGCACCUCUAAUAGCCAAAGCGACGGCCGAGAGAUCUCUACCUCCACCUCAUCCACCUAUGUAGAAGGAGUACAAGAAAUGAAUUUCAAAGAUCAAAUAUUGAUGAUAUUUUGUUGAGAUUGAACCUUGAAUGUUGUUUAUUUUCUUGAAAUUUGAAUAUUGAGUAAUUGAAAGUGACCAUAUUGCAAAUAUGUCCAUGAAUGUGAUGAAUAUUGCUAAUAUAUUGAUUAUUGAUAUGGAAUUUUGAUAGUGGUAGUGGAAAGUAGUGAUAUUAAAUCGUGAGUGUAAAAUGUUGAAUAUUGAUAUUGAAUCUUGAUUGUAAA